UUGCGUUUGGAAUCAUGAUGUGAGCUUAUAAAACUCUAUCUUGGACGCAACGAACUGCAUCAACCAGUAAUCAAGGGAUUCUCGAAUACUGGCGGCACGGAUCAAUUAGAGAAACGACGAAAUAUGGCAGGUUAUAGACAUAGCCAUUUAUAACCCUAGAAAAGCCUAAUGAACCGCAUUGAAGCGGGUUUAUCAGACAAACUUGAUAGAUAUACCUAAUUGAUUGUCAUCGACGGAGAGGGGCGCAUUUUUUGCGUAUCUGAUGGCACGUAGGG
rnacentral:ncRNA from 12 species